CCCUUAGAUGUUCUGGGCCGCACGCGCGCUACACUGAUGCACUCAACGAGUCUCCACCUUGACCGGAAGGUCCGGGAAACCUGAGAACUUACAUCGUGAUGGGGAUAGAUUAUUGCAACUAUUAAUCUUCAACGAGGAAUACCUAGUAAGCGCAUGUCAUCAGCGUGCGUUGAUUACGUCCCUGCCCUUUGUACACACCGCCCGUCGCUCCUACCGAUUGAAUGAUCCGGUGAGGCCCCCGGAAUGGGAUCACUGCUCGGUUCGCCGAAAUGAGAUCCUGUGAAGCUGUCCAAACCUUAUCAUUUAGAGGAAGGAGAAGUCGUAACA
rnacentral:rRNA from 1 species